GAGUAUUCUUGGGUAAAUAUCACUUUAAAGCUGUUAUUGCUUGAGAAUACACGU
rnacentral:pre_miRNA from 1 species